rnacentral:rRNA from 1 species
GACGAACGCUGGCGGCGUGCUUAACACAUGCAAGUCGAACGGAAAGGCCCUGCUUUUGUGGGGUGCUCGAGUGGCGAACGGGUGAGUAACACGUGAGUAACCUGCCCUGGACUUUGGGAUAACUUCAGGAAACUGGGGCUAAUACCGGAUAGGAGCUCCUGCUGCAUGGUGGGGGUUGGAAAGUUUCGGCGGUUGGGGAUGGACUCGCGGCUUAUCAGCUUGUUGGUGGGGUAGUGGCUUACCAAGGCUUUGACGGGUAGCCGGCCUGAGAGGGUGACCGGCCACAUUGGGACUGAGAUACGGCCCAGACGCCUACGGGAGGAAGCAGUGGGGAAUAUUGCACAAUGGGCGGAAGCCUGAUGCAGCAACGCCGCGUGCGGGAUGACGGCCUUCGGGUUGUAAACCGCUUUCGCCUGUGACGAAGCGUGAGUGACGGUAAUGGGUAAAGAAGCACCGGCUAACUACGU